rnacentral:rRNA from 1 species
CUCUGUGACUCCUACGGGGAGGCAGCAGUGGGGAAUAUUGCACAAUGGGGGAAACCCUGAUGCAGCCAUGCCGCGUGUGUGAAGAAGGCCUUCGGGUUGUAAAGCACUUUCAGUAGGGAGGAAGGUAGUGUAGUUAACACCUGCACUAUUUGACGUUACCUACAGAAGAAGCACCGGCUAACUCCGUGCCAGCAGCCGCGGUAAUACGGAGGGUGCGAGCGUUAAUCGGAAUUACUGGGCGUAAAGCGCAUGCAGGCGGCCUGUUAAGUCAGAUGUGAAAGCCCGGGGCUUAACCUCGGAAUUGCAUUUGAAACUGGCAGGCUAGAGUCUUGUAGAGGGGGGUAGGAAUUUCAGGUGUAGCGGUGAAAUGCGUAGAGAUCUGAAGGAAUACCAGUGGCGAAGGCGGCCCCCUGGACAAAGACUGACGCUCAGAUGCGAAAGCGUGGGGAGCAAACAGGAUUAGAUACCCUGUAG